UACGGAGGAUCCGAGCGUUAUCCGGAUUUAUUGGGUUUAAAGGGUGCGUAGGCGGCCUGGUAAGUCAGGGGUGAAAGACGGUAGCUUAACUAUCGCAGUGCCCUUGAUACUGCUGGGCUUGAAUGUAGUUGAGGUAGGCGGAAUGUGACAAGUAGCGGUGAAAUGCAUAGAUAUGUCACAGAACACCAAUUGCGAAGGCAGCUUACUAAGUAUGAUUGACGCUGAGGCACGAAAGCGUGGGGAUCAAACAGG
rnacentral:rRNA from 1 species